GUAACCUUGUAUUGUACAAGUCUACAAAUACAGUUGAAACUGCAAGGCCAUGUUUGGUAGGCCAUCAACUACCACUAACCAGAGAGAGAGCGUUGUCUUGUUGAGGGCGCUGAAGGGUUUUGGGUACUUCUUCUCCUCCUCCUCUUCAUGUUGCCUCUUCUGCGUUGCCAGUUCAAGCAUCAAAACGCAUCCGUUUGCAAAGCUUCUCUCUAAAUCACUGUAAACACACAAGCCUUGGUUUUCUAAACUCAUAAAGGUGAUGAACGCACCGAUAAUGGACCCAUUGCAAGGAGAUUUCCCAGAAGUGAUAGAGGAGUAUUUGGAACUUGGGGUUAUGAAAUGCAUUGCCAUCCCCAUAAGAUGUUUUUUUGAAACUUCUUUUUUUCAUUAGAAAUUAAGUGCUUUGGGCAAUGUGGCAAUGUGGGUAUUUCGAAAGUUGUGAUUUUCUGUUUGUAUUUCUUUUAGUUUUGUCCUGCUGUUUCUAGGGUCCUUUUUGCUGAAUAAAUUGCUUAUUCAAAAAUUAAAAGGAAGGCUGUAAAUUUGUUUGCACAUUGAGGUAUAGAAACACCAUUGCCAGUUUAUACAGCACUCACUUGUUCUUCUUCCACAAUUUGUACUUUUGAAACUAAUAUAUAAGGAGUUGAAUCCACAAUUUGUAAAGAAGUGGAAUUGCUAGCUAUUCCAGAAAAAUUAAAGAAUUGGUCAAUUAGUUGGAAUUUUUUUACGGUUUCGUUUUCAGUUAGGUCUCUGCGUUAAUACCCUGCAUGAGCCUCAGGUUACUUUUAACUGAUUGAUUCUUUAAUUUGUCCUUUACACUUUUAUUGAAGAACACAUAAACUACAGGCAUUUCUUAUUAAUCAUCUUGCUAGCCAAGGAUAUAAACGAAACCCCAUUUACACAGAUUUCUCCCGGAGAUAGGUGCUGUGGAGGUCAAUAUCUGUAAUCAAAUGAGAAAAAGAUAUUGGCCGGGCUUAGUUCAUGGCUUUUCCAGAGGACCAUAAGCUGUAGGAAACAGAAGCCCCAAGUGCCAGAAGAACAAGAACUGCUGCUCCCAUAUUGAUCAACAUCUGCGUCUCUUCAUUGUUCACCCCCUUUCCUAGAUUUCUCAUGCCCUCCUUUGCAGCAGCCAUCACAUUUGCAGCAAUGGAAUCCUCCUCUGUACGCUUCUCUCGGUCAACAGCGCUCCCAGAACUCUUGCUCUUUCUCUUUGCCUUUUCUAAAAUCUUUGGGACAGCCCCUGCUUCUUUGCUUCUCUCAUUGGCCUCUCUUUCCUUCUGCAGACUGGUUUCAGCAACUCUCUCAGCAUUCUUUGGUUCUGUUGGCUUCCCUUUUGCUUCACUCUGAUCCUUUCGAUCAACAUGCUCAGCAGACUAGUCAAAGUUAUCACCCUCUUCUCAUCUCUCUGUUUCUCAUUCUGGAUUGCUGGAUUUGCUUUUGGAAGGGCCUCAUCCUUAU